rnacentral:lncRNA from 10 species
GAGCACCACUCAAAGUUGACUGUUCCUUGUUCAAUCAGGAUCACCCACAGGAACCCAAAGGAGUGAGCCAGGGCGAAGUGAUGGAAGUCUGUAGAGGAGAGGAAUCGCUACAUCAUAGUGAAUUCAUGCAUUCGACAUUAGUAGAUGAUAUCAAACCCUUUUCCAAAGUGGCUGCACCAAUACAUCCCCACCUUCAAAAGCACUG